rnacentral:rRNA from 1 species
GGGAGGCAGCAGUGGGGAAUAUUGCACAAUGGGCGCAAGCCUGAUGCAGCAACGCCGCGUGCGGGAUGACGGCCUUCGGGUUGUAAACCGCUUUUAGUAGGGAAGAAGCCUUCGGGUGACGGUACCUGCAGAAAAAGGACCGGCUAACUACGUGCCAGCAGCCGCGGUAAUACGUAGGGUCCGAGCGUUGUCCGGAAUUAUUGGGCGUAAAGAGCUCGUAGGCGGUUUGUCGCGUCUGCUGUGAAAACUAGAGGCUCAACCUCUAGCCUGCAGUGGGUACGGGCAGACUUGAGUGGUGUAGGGGAGACUGGAAUUCCUGGUGUAGCGGUGGAAUGCGCAGAUAUCAGGAGGAACACCGAUGGCGAAGGCAGGUCUCUGGGCACUUACUGACGCUGAGGAGCGAAAGCGUGGGGAGCGAACAGGAUUAGAUACCCUGGUAGUCCACGCCGUAAACGUUGGGCGCUAGAUGUGGGGACCUUUCCACGGUUUCCGUGUCGUAGCUAACGCAUUAAGCGCCCCGCCUGG